rnacentral:rRNA from 1 species
UACGAAGGGGGCUAGCGUUGUUCGGAAUUACUGGGCGUAAAGCGCACGUAGGCGGGCGGUUAAGUCAGGGGUGAAAUCCCGGAGCUCAACCCCGGAACAGCCUUUGAUACUGGCCAGCUAGAGAUCGGAAGAGGUAAGUGGAAUUCCCAGUGUAGAGGUGAAAUUCGUAGAUAUUGGGAAGAACACCAGUGGCGAAGGCGGCUUACUGGUCCGACACUGACGCUGAGGUGCGAAAGCGUGGGGAGCAAACAGG